rnacentral:rRNA from 1 species
UACGGAAGGGGCAAGCGUUGUUCGGAAUCAUUGGGCGUAAAGGGCGCGUAGGUGGUUUUGUGUGUCUACCGUGAAAGCAUACAGCUCAACUGUAUUUUGUCGGUAGAAACUGCAGGACUUGAGGCUGGGAGGGGCUGGUGGAAUUCCCUGUGUAGCGGUGAAAUGCGCAGAUAUCAGGAGGAACACCAAUGGCGAAGGCAGCUCGCUGGGACGUGACUGACGCUGAGACGCGAAAGCGUGGGGAGCAAACAGG